UAUUGGGCAAUGGCCGAGAGGCUGAACCAGCCAAGUCGCGUGAGGGAUGACGGCCCUACGGGUUGUAAACUUCUUUUGUCGGGGAGCANGACCCGCCCCGUGCAGGCGGAGCGAGAGUACCCGAAGAAAAAGCAUCGGCUAACUCCGUGCCAGCAGCCGCGGUAAUAAGGAGGAUGCGAGCGUUAUCCGGAUUUAUUGGGUUUAAAGGGUGCGCUGGCGGACCAUCAAGUCGGCGGUAAAGUCGUGGGGCCCAACCCCAUCCCGCCGUUGAAACUGGCGGUCUUGAGUGAGCGAGAAGUAUGCGGAAUGCGUGGUGUAGCGGUGAAAUGCAUAGAUAUCACGCAGAACUCCGAUUGCGAAGGCAGCAUACCGGCGCCCUACUGACGCUGAGGCACGAAAGCGUGGGUAUCGAACAGG
rnacentral:rRNA from 1 species